rnacentral:piRNA from 1 species
UAGCACAUAAAACUGUUCCAAAUGGCUCA